rnacentral:rRNA from 1 species
UUCCUACGGGGGGCUGCAGUGGGGAAUAUUGGGCAAUGGGCGCAAGCCUGACCCAGCAACGCCGCGUGAGGGAAGAAGGCCUUCGGGUUGUAAACCUCUGUCCUUAGGGACGAAAAAAAUGACGGUACCUAAGGAGGAAGCUCCGGCUAACUACGUGCCAGCAGCCGCGGUAAUACGUAGGGAGCAAGCGUUGUCCGGAAUUACUGGGCGUAAAGGGUGCGUAGGCGGCUUGGCAAGUCAGAUGUGAAAUCCCCGGGCUUAACUCGGGGGGUGCAUUUGAAACUGCUGAGCUGGAGUGCAGGAGAGGAGAGCGGAAUUCCUAGUGUAGCGGUGAAAUGCGUAGAUAUUAGGAGGAACACCAGUGGCGAAGGCGGCUUUCUGGACUGUAACUGACGCUGAGGCACGAAAGCGUGGGGAGCAAACAGGAUUAGAUACCCCAGUAGUCACG